UCUUUCCCUCCUCCUCCUCCUCCACCUCCUCCUCCUCCUCCACCUCCUCCUCCACCUCCUCUCCUCUUCCUCCUCCUCCUCCUCCUCCCCGAUCUCGAUGGCGGACUCGCGCAGGGGGAGAGAUCACUCACGAGUUGGCUGCCUACAGCUGGUGACAGUGUUUUGCUACUGCUGAGGAAUCCAGAACAAGUCUUUGGCCCAGUAAUCCAUUGCUGAACUUCAUUAACCACAGGAAGACAUUAAGUGAAGGACAGUCAACGCAGCUAAGGAGAACCCACAGGCUUCAAAUGGUCGGGUAGCCUGGGAUUGCUGCGAACCUUUCUAGAAGUCUUCUGUCUUGCUCUUGCUUCCCUGAGAUUAAAGGGGGAUUUUUUUAUUUUUAUUAUAAAACUCCAGCUGGAGAACAGGAAGUGAACAGGACCUGGAAGACAGGGUGUACUAGCCAGUGGUUGUCACUGAGCAGCUGAGCACAGUCCUGCUGGGCAGUUCUGGGGUCCAUGUAGACAUGUUCCUUGGAGAUGCCCUCCUACAGGGUGAGAGAGCUGGGGUGUGAUCCGCCUGCUCCUGCCCCCCAUGGUGCUGGGGGCUGGUGGUCAGCUGGGGGGGGGUGAAGAAAUGGUAUAGUGCUGGGCAAUGUCUUCCAGAUUUGAAUCCCCAGACUGUGAUCUUCAGCAGGCCAAGGGCAGAGACUCUUUAACGCAGUGUCCAUUGUGCCAGGCACACAGCAGAGCAGAGUAAAUACCCGUGGAAUGCGGAGCUCACCCAAACCGGGCUCCAGGUCUCUCUCAGCUGCGCUCUCUCUGCUAGUCCUGUCUGUUCUAAUGUAUUUAGUUCUUGCUUCUAAGUCUUUUGCAUUCCUGAAUUUUGUCCUCUCUCUCCCCACUUGUAUGGUCACUUGGGGAUCCCUUCACCUUCUUCCCAGGUGGCUCUCUAGUGGGGCUGUGAAGCAGAGGUCUUGUGAUUACCAUAGCUCGAAUUUUUAAACAAAAUAAAACAUGUGUUUUGAUGCUGA